rnacentral:rRNA from 1 species
GUGACCUCAAAUCAGGUAGGACUACCCGCUGAACUUAAGCAUAUCAAUAAGCGGAGGAAAAGAAACUAACAAGGAUUCCCCUAGUAACUGCGAGUGAAGCGGGAAAAGCUCAAAUUUAAAAUCUGGCAGCCUUUGGUUGUCCGAGUUGUAAUCUAGAGAAGUGUUAUCCGCGCUGGACCGUGUACAAGUCUCCUGGAAUGGAGCGUCAUAGAGGGUGAGAAUCCCGUCUUUGACACGGACUGCCAGGGCUUUGUGAUGCGCUCUCAAAGAGUCGAGUUGUUUGGGAAUGCAGCUCAAAAUGGGUGGUAAAUUCCAUCUAAAGCUAAAUAUUGGCGAGAGACCGAUAGCGAACAAGUACCGUGAGGGAAAGAUGAAAAGAACUUUGGAAAGAGAGUUAAACAGUACGUGAAAUUGCUGAAAGGGAAACGCUUGAAGUCAGUCGCGUUGUCCAGGGAUCAACCUUGCUUUUGCUUGGUGCACUUUCUGGUUGACGGGUCAGCAUCAAUUUUGAUCAUUGGAAAAAGAUUGGGGGAAUGUGGCAUCUUCGGAUGUGUUAUAGCCCUUGGUUGCAUACAAUGGUUGGGAUUGAGGAACUCAGCACGCCGCAAGGCCGGACAAUUUUGUCACGUACGUGCUUAGGAUGCUGGCAUAAUGGCUUUAAUCGACCCGUCUUGAAACACGGACCAAGGAGUCUAACAUGCCUGCGAGUGUUUGGGUGGAAAACCCGAGCGCGUAAUGAAAGUGAAAGUUGAGAUCCCUGUCGUGGGGAGCAUCGACGCCCGGACCAGACCUUUUGUGACGGUUCCGCGGUAGAGCAUGUAUGUUGGGACCCGAAAGAUGGUGAACUAUGCCUGAAUAGGGUGAAGCCAGAGGAAACUCUGGUGGAGGCUCGUAGCGAUUCUGACGUGCAAAUCGAUCGUCAAAUUUGGGUAUAGGGGCGAAAGACUAAUCGAACCAUCUAGUAGCUGGUUCCUGCCGA